UUCUGGGUUUUUUUUUUUUUUUUUUUUUCAGGGGACUAGUUGCAGAGGGCUUAGGUUAAAGCUCGUGAACCCAACCAUCUUCUUUAUCUCUCUCCCUCUCUCUUUCUCCGAGUACUUGUGCUCCGUUUUUCUGUGUGUAAAGCUCCAACACGAAAGAUGGUGAUAUUUAUAUUAUCGACUGCGUACUCCAGUUUUGGACAGAUCAUCUAUUCAUUGUGUCUCAAAGUCAGUGAACUCUGAGAUGGAGUACAAUUACAUGUAUGCCCAUGUUGUGUUUCGUAAAUAACGAGGGAUGA
rnacentral:lncRNA from 1 species